rnacentral:rRNA from 1 species
CCCCGGGCUCAACCUGGGAACUGCAUCUGAUACUGGCAAGCUUGAGUCUCGUAGAGGGGGGUAGAAUUCCAGGUGUAGCGGUGAAAUGCGUAGAGAUCUGGAGGAAUACCGGUGGCGAAGGCGGCCCCCUGGACGAAGACUGACGCUCAGGUGCGAAAGCGUGGGGAGCAAACAGGAUUAGAUACCCUGGUAGUCCACGCCGUAAACGAUGUCGACUUGGAGGUUGUGCCCUUGAGGCGUGGCUUCCGGAGCUAACGCGUUAAGUCGACCGCCUGGGGAGUACGGCCGCAAGGUUAAAACUCAAAUGAAUUGACGGGGGCCCGCACAAGCGGUGGAGCAUGUGGUUUAAUUCGAUGCAACGCGAAGAACC